rnacentral:rRNA from 1 species
UACGUAGGGUGCGAGCGUUAAUCGGAAUUACUGGGCGUAAAGCGUGCGCAGGCGGUUCGCCAAGUCAGGUGUGAAAUCCCCGGGCUUAACCUGGGAAUUGCGCUUGAUACUAGCGAGCUUGAGUGUGGCAGAGGGGGGUGGAAUUCCACGUGUAGCAGUGAAAUGCGUAGAGAUGUGGAGGAACACCGAUGGCGAAAACAGCCCCCUAAGUCAACACUAACGCUCAUACAC